UACGUAGGGUGCGAGCGUUGUCCGGAAUUACUGGGCGUAAAGAGCUCGUAGGCGGUUUGUCGCGUUGUCCGUGAAAACUCACAACUCAAUUGUGGGCGUGCGGGCGAUACGGGCAGACUGGAGUACUGCAGGGGAUACUGGAAUUCCUGGUGUAGCGGUGGAAUGCGCAGAUAUCAGGAGGAACACCGGUGGCGAAGGCGGGUCUCUGGGCAGUAACUGACGCUGAGGAGCGAAAGCGUGGGGAGCGAACAGG
rnacentral:rRNA from 1 species